rnacentral:rRNA from 1 species
GAUGAACGCUGGCGGCGUGCUUAACACAUGCAAGUCGAACGAUGAUCCCAGCUUGCUGGGGGAUUAGUGGCGAACGGGUGAGUAACACGUGAGUAACCUGCCCUUAACUCUGGGAUAAGCCUGGGAAACUGGGUCUAAUACCGGAUAUGACUCCUCAUCGCAUGGUGGGGGGUGGAAAGCUUUAUUGUGGUUUUGGAUGGACUCGCGGCCUAUCAGCUUGUUGGUGAGGUAAUGGCUCACCAAGGCGACGACGGGUAGCCGGCCUGAGAGGGUGACCGGCCACACUGGGACUGAGACACGGCCCAGACUCCUACGGGAGGCAGCAGUGGGGAAUAUUGCACAAUGGGCGAAAGCCUGAUGCAGCGACGCCGCGUGAGGGAUGACGGCCUUCGGGUUGUAAACCUCUUUCAGUAGGGAAGAAGCGAAAGUGACGGUACCUGCAGAAGAAGCGCCGGCUAAUUACGUGCCAGCAGCCGCGGUAAUACGUAGGGCGCAAGCGUUAUCCGGAAUUAUUGGGCGUAAAGAGCUCGUAGGCGGUUUGUCGCGUCUGCCGUGAAAGUCCGGGGCUCAACUCCGGAUCUGCGGUGGGUACGGGCAGACUAGAGUGAUGUAGGGGAGACUGGAAUUCCUGGUGUAGCGGUGAAAUGCGCAGAUAUCAGGAGGAACACCGAUGGCGAAGGCAGGUCUCUGGGCAUUAACUGACGCUGAGGAGCGAAAGCAUGGGGAGCGAACAGGAUUAGAUACCCUGGUAGUCCAUGCCGUAAACGUUGGGCACUAGGUGUGGGGGACAUUCCACGUUUUCCGCGCCGUAGCUAACGCAUUAAGUGCCCCGCCUGGGGAGUACGGCCGCAAGGCUAAAACUCAAAGGAAUUGACGGGGGCCCGCACAAGCGGCGGAGCAUGCGGAUUAAUUCGAUGCAACGCGAAGAACCUUACCAAGGCUUGACAUGAACCGGAAACACCUGGAAACAGGUGCCCCGCUUGCGGUCGGUUUACAGGUGGUGCAUGGUUGUCGUCAG